rnacentral:rRNA from 1 species
GACGUAGGGGGCGAGCGUUGUCCGGAUUCAUUGGGCGUAAAGCGCGCGUAGGCGGCUGCGCAAGUCGGUUGUGAAAUUCCGGGGCUCAACCCCGGAACUGCGUCCGAUACUGCGUGGCUAGAGGUAGGUAGGGGAGAGUCGGAAUUCCUGGUGUAGCGGUGAAAUGCGCAGAUAUCAGGAGGAACACCGGUGGCGAAGGCGGAUCUCUGGGCCUUACCCUGACGCUCAGGCGCGAAAAGCUAGGGGGAGCGAACAGG